rnacentral:rRNA from 1 species
AUUGAACGCUGGCGGCAGGCUUAACACAUGCAAGUCGAGCGAGCGGCGGACGGGUGAGUAAUGUCUGGGAAACUGCCUGAUGGAGGGGGAUAACUCCUGGAAACGGUAGCUAAUACCGCAUACCAUAAGAUGUGCCCAGAUGGGAUUAGCUAGUAGGUGGGGUAAUGGCUCCACUAGGCGACGAUCCCUAGCGGGUCUGAGCGGAUGACCAGCCACACUGGAACGGAGACACGGUCCAGACUCCUACGGGAGGCAGCAGUGGUGAAUAUUGCACAAUGGGCGCAAGCCUGAUGCAGCCAUGCCGCGUGUGUGAAGAAGGCCUUCGGGUUGUAAAGCACUUGCAGCGAGGAGGCGUUACUCGCAGAAGAAGCACCGGCUAACUCCGUGCCAGCCGCCGCGGUAAUUC